CGGGUGAGUAAUGCGUGACCAACCUGCCCCAUGCUCCAGAAUAGCUCUUGGAAACGGGUGGUAAUGCUGGAUGCUCCAACUUGACGCAUGUCUUGUUGGGAAAGUGUUUAGUGGCAUGGGAUGGGGUCGCGUCCUAUCAGCUUGUAGGCGGGGUAAUGGCCCACCUAGGCUUCGACGGGUAGCCGGCCUGAGAGGGCGGACGGCCACAUUGGGACUGAGAUACGGCCCAGACUCCUACGGGAGGCANCAGAUA
rnacentral:rRNA from 1 species